rnacentral:tRNA from 1 species
GGUUCCAUAGUUUAACGGACAGAAUUUAGGAUUCCGAUUCCUGAGAUAUGCGUUCGAUUCGCAUUGGGACCA